CCUACGGGUGGCAGCAGUGGGGGAUAUUGCACAAUGGGGGGAACCCUGAUGCAGCGACGCCGCGUGGGUGAAGAAGCGCCUCGGCGCGUAAAGCCCUGUCAGCAGGGAAGAAAAUGACGGUACCUGAAGAAGAAGCCCCGGCUAACUACGUGCCAGCAGCCGCGGUAAUACGUAGGGGGCAAGCGUUAUCCGGAAUUAUUGGGUGUAAAGGGUGCGUAGACGGAAGAACAAGUUGGUUGUGAAAUCCCUCGGCUCAACUGAGGAACUGCAACCAAAACUAUUCUCCUUGAGUGUCGGAGAGGAAAGUGGAAUUCCUAGUGUAGCGGUGAAAUGCGUAGAUAUUAGGAGGAACACCAGUGGCGAAGGCGACUUUCUGGACGAUAACUGACGUUGAGGCACGAAAGUGUGGGGAGCAAACAGGAUUAGAUACCCUUGUAGUC
rnacentral:rRNA from 1 species